rnacentral:pre_miRNA from 9 species
UCUCGAUAGCGUAAAAGUUAGCUCAUAUUUGUAUGGAACGGUAUCGUUCGCCUACGUUUGCCGCUAGGGGCGCUGUUCCAAUUGCAUACAAAAUUAGGUUAACUUUUACACUAUUGA